AUGAUUUCCUGGGUUGCUGCAUUCUGGUAGGGUGUGUGAUUUGAACCCGCCCCGCCUGUAUACCCGAUUAAAAUUAGAGUUAGGUUUCAGGGUUCAAUUUACACACACACAUACACACACACACACAUAUAUAUAUAUAUAUAUAUAUUCAAAUAAGGACACAUCUAUUAUGGAGGAUGGUGAGGACUAAUAUUGUGCAUUGGAUUGUAAGAUUGGAUUUGUGUAGAUUUAGGAUGAAUUUGUAUUAAUUUUAGUAACAAAUAGGCAUGGCUUUUGGGUUUUGGAGAGUUUUGUGCCGCCGUAUCUAUGUUGGGCUUUUCUCGUUGGUGUCCUCGGCAUGCGUAGCAGUGAUGGCGGACGGAGGCAGUAGUCGGCAUCGACUGAAGAGAUCUGGGCAGACGGGCGUGACGGAUGGUCGAGCCUGGCCGAGUUAUUAUCAUCUAGAAAAUCCAGAGCAGCCUUUGCUUCGAUUCUAGCAUCCAUUGUGGCUUCUUUAUAUUGCCUUUUCUUUGGAUAUGUAGGUGCUGGAGGCAUGAGUUUGCUUCAAUUCUGCAACCCGAAUAGUUUUUGAAACAACUUCAUACUCAGGUUUUCAAUCUUUCUCGGAUUGUCUAUCCCUCAGUACUUCAGCGAGUACAUUGCCAUCAAUAGUUAUGGACCUGUUCACACUGGUGGGAGAUGGUUGUCUUAUUAUGAUGUGUCGUGAUGGCAAAAACAAAGUGAAUUGUGGAGUUUAUCUUAUGCGCCACAUGUAAAGUUACGCUGGGCAAGGGGUAAGUGAAUGGGAGUGUGGUCUUGUUAAGGAUUUAAUUGUUCGUUUUGUGGACUUUCUUUGGCAUUACCAUUUUGACAUGUUUGUAUUUUAUCAUAGAUGGACCCUAGUUGUUGAUCAAUUGUAGUUUAUUUUUUGGUCCACUGCUGGAAAUCAGCGAAUUUCCGACGACUUUUCCGACCACCAAAUAAUUUGGUCGUUAAAAAUGAGUUUUUUCCAUUCUUCUGUCGAGACGGAAAGUGGUCGGAAAUUUCCAACCACUUUCAAAAAGUGGUCGGAAGUGUCCGACCACCAUUAUAUAUGGUCGGAAAAAAGUUGACCGAUUCUAUUCCUCCAUCCGAAUGGUGUAGCGACCAUAUUUGUGGUCGGAAGAUUACGCGUUU